CAAAGAUUAAGCCAUGCAUGUGACUGGCAGGAUC
rnacentral:rRNA from 1 species